CAGCUAGCUUAUCCACCAAUAUAACCAAACAAUAUAAAUAAAAUAGAAUAGGCCAAACACCAAAAACUAAACCAUUCUUUUACCUGAGUAUGGGAGACAGAAAAGGUUCAACCAAAGCAAUAGAAAUAGUACCGCAAGGGAAAGCUGAAAGAGAAAUGAAACAACCCAUAUAAGUACCAAAAAGCAAAGACUAAACCUUGUACCUUUUGCAUCAUGAUUUAGCCAGUAAACACAAGCAAAGAGACCUUUAGUUUGAAACCCCGAAACCAGGUGAGCUACCCCGAGACAGCCUAUUAAGGGCCAACCCGUCUCUGUGGCAAAAGAGUGGGAAGAGCUCCGGGUAGAAGUGACAGACCUACCGAACCUGGUGAUAGCUGGUUGCCUAAGAGAUGAAUAGAAGUUCAGCCUCGUAUACCUUAAAUCAAGCAAGCACUAAUCAAGACACCAAGAGAAAAAUACGAGAGUUAGUUAAAGGGGGUACAGCCCCUUUAACAAAGGAUACAACCUUACUCAGGAGGAUAAAGAUCAUAAUAUAUAAAACACGCUGUUCUAGUGGGCCUAAAAGCAGCCACCUAAACAGAAAGCGUUAAAGCUCAGACAGAAAUAAGUUUAUUAUUCUGAUAAAAAAUCUUAUUCCCCUAAAUACUAUUAGGCUAAUCCAUGCCCCCAUGGAAGAAAUUAUGCUAAAAUGAGUAACAAGAAGGCUCGCCCUUCUCCAAGCACAAGUGCAAGCCAAACCGGACCAACCAUUGGCAACUAACGAACUCAACCCAAGAGAGUAAUGUGAACCAUAAAAAAAACAAGAAAAACCCACAACUUAACAAUCGUUAACCCCACACUGGAGUGCUAUUUAAAGGAAAGACUAAAAGAAAAGGAAGGAACUCGGCAAACACAAGCCUCGCCUGUUUACCAAAAACAUCGCCUCCUGCAACACAGCCAUGUAUAGGAGGUCCAGCCUGCCCAGUGACUACAAGUUCAACGGCCGCGGUAUUUUGACCGUGCAAAGGUAGCGCAAUCACUUGUCUUUUAAAUAGAGACCUGUAUGAAUGGCUAAACGAGGGCUUAACUGUCUCCCCUUUCAAGUCAGUGAAAUUGAUCUGCCCGUGCAGAAGCG
rnacentral:rRNA from 1 species